GCGGCCGGACAAAGUCCCCUGGAAUGUGGCUCCUCUCGGGGAGUGUUAUAGCCAGAGGUGCAAUGCGGCCCGCCCGGACCGAGGACCGCGCUUCGGCUAGGAUGCUGGCGUAAUGGUUGUAAGCGACCCGUCUUGAAACACGGACCAAGGAGUCUAACAUCUAUGCGAGUGUUUGGGUGUCAAACCCAUGCGCGUAAUGAAAGUGAACGGAGGUGGGAACCCUCAAGGGUGCACCGUCGACCGAUCCUGAUGUCUUCGGAUGGAUUUGAGUAAGAGCAUAGCUGUUGGGACCCGAAAGAUGGUGAACUAUGCCUGAAUAGGGUGAAGCCAGAGGAAACUCUGGUGGAGGCUCGCAGCGGUUCUGACGUGCAAAUCGAUCGUCAAAUUUGGGUAUAGGGGCGAAAGACUAAUCGAACCAUCUGUUACUAGAUGGCACACGGGGGCCGAUGCGCCCGAGUAAUCCCCGCGGGGGUGACAUCGUCGGUCUUCCGGGGACGCCUCUGGGCUACCCGCAGUGAGCUUCAGGCUCAUUCACAGACUAAGUGGCGGUGGCCGCGCGGGGCGCGGUUAGG
rnacentral:rRNA from 1 species